GACGAACGCUGGCGGCGUGCCUAAUACAUGCAAGUCGAGCGAGACUCUUCGGAGUCUAGCGGCGGACGGGUGAGUAACACGUGGCAACCUACCUGUAAGACCGGGAUAACACCGGGAAACCGGUGCUAAUACCGGAUAAUCCUUUUCCUCUCAUGAGGAAAAGCUGAAAGUCGGUUUCGGCUGACACUUACAGAUGGGCCCGCGGCGAAUUAGCUAGUUGGUGAGGUAACGGCUCACCAAGGCGACGAUGCGUAGCCGACCUGGGAGGGUGAUCGGCCACACUGGGACUGAGACACGGCCCAGACUCCUACGGGAGGCAGCAGUAGGGAAUCUUCCACAAUGGACGAAAGUCUGAUGGAGCAACGCCGCGUGAGCGAUGAAGGCCUUCGGGUCGUAAAGCUCUGUUGUUAGGGAAGAACAAGUACCGGAGUAACUGCCGGUACCUUGACGGUACCUAACCAGAAAGCCACGGCUAACUACGUGCCAGCCGCCGCGGUAAAAC
rnacentral:rRNA from 1 species